rnacentral:rRNA from 1 species
UAAGGAAUAUUGCUCAAUGGGAGAAAUCCUGAAGCAGCAACGCCGCGUGGAGGAUGAAGGGUCUAUGACUUGUAAACUCCUGUAAAGAAGGAAAAAAUUCCCAUUUGAUGGGAGAUGAUGGUACUUCUGGAGUAAGCCCCGGCUAACUACGUGCCAGCAGCCGCGGUAAUACGUAGGGGGCAAGCGUUGUCCGGAUUUACUGGGUGUAAAGGGUGCUCAGGCGGAUUUGUAAGUCAGAGGUGAAAUCUUACAGCUUAACUGUGAAACUGCCUUUGGUACUGCAAGCCUAGAGUAUGGAAGAGAGUGAUGGAAUAUCUGGUGUAGCAGUGAAAUGCGUAGAUAUCAGAUAGAACACCAAUGGCGAAGGCAGUCACUUGGUCCAUUACUGACGCUAAAGCACGAAAGCGUGGGUAGCAAACA